rfam:Penicillium marneffei ATCC 18224 scf_1105668340970 genomic scaffold, whole genome shotgun sequence.
GGCGGAAUGGCCGAGUGGUCCAAGGCGGUAGAUUUAAGGCUGUGAUUGUUUCAAAAUCACCAAGCUCCCUACUCACGAAAGUGGCGCGUGUUCGAACCACGCUUCCGUCA